rnacentral:rRNA from 1 species
CCUACGGGUGGCACCAGUGGGGAAUUUUGGACAAUGGGCGCAAGCCUGAUCCAGCCAUGCCGCGUGCAGGAAGAAGGCCUUCGGGUUGUAAACUGCUUUUGUCAGGGAAGAAAUCCUUUGGGUUAAUACCUCGGAGGGAUGACGGUACCUGAAGAAUAAGCACCGGCUAACUACGUGCCAGCAGCCGCGGUAAUACGUAGGGUGCAAGCGUUAAUCGGAAUUACUGGGCGUAAAGCGUGCGCAGGCGGUUAUGCAAGACAGAUGUGAAAUCCCCGGGCUCAACCUGGGAACUGCAUUUGUGACUGCAUGACUAGAGUGCGGCAGAGGGAGAUGGAAUUCCGCGUGUAGCAGUGAAAUGCGUAGAUAUGCGGAGGAACACCGAUGGCGAAGGCAAUCUCCUGGGCCUGCACUGACGCUCAUGCACGAAAGCGUGGGGAGCA